UGGGGAAUAUUGCACAAUGGGCGAAAGCCUGAUGCAGCAACGCCGCGUGAGUGAUGAAGGUCUUCGGAUUGUAAAGCUCUGUCUUUUGGGACGAUAAUGACGGUACCAAAGGAGGAAGCCACGGCUAACUACGUGCCAGCAGCCGCGGUAAUACGUAGGUGGCGAGCGUUGUCCGGAUUUACUGGGCGUAAAGGGUGCGUAGGCGGAUGUUUAAGUGAGAUGUGAAAUACCCGGGCUUAACUUGGGUGCUGCAUUUCAAACUGGAUAUCUAGAGUGCAGGAGAGGAGAAUGGAAUUCCUAGUGUAGCGGUGAAAUGCGUAGAGAUUAGGAAGAACACCAGUGGCCGAAGGCGAUUCUCUGGACUGUAACUGACGCUGAGGCACGAAAGCGUGGGUAGCAAACAGGAUUAGAUACCCUGGUAGUCCACGCCGUAAACGAUGAGUACUAGGUGUAGGAGGUAUCGACCCCUUCUGUGCCGCAGUAAACACAUUAAGUACUCCGCCUGGGAAGUACGAUCGCAAGAUUAAAACUCUAAAAUGAAUUGACGGGG
rnacentral:rRNA from 1 species